rnacentral:rRNA from 1 species
CCUUAUAGAUUUUAUAUUAGGUCAGACCUGCCCUAUGAUUGUUUAAAUGGCCGCGGUAUCCUAACCGUGCAAAGGUAGCAUAAUAGUUUGUCUUUUAAAUGGAGACUAGUAUGAAUGGUCAUACGAGAUAUCAACUUUCUUUAUUUUAUUAUAAUGAAUUUUAUUUUUUUGUGAAAAAGCGAAAAUGAGUUUAUUAGACGAUAAGACCCUAUAAAACUUUAUUUUAGUAUUAAAAUAAAGUUUAUAGAUUUAAGUUUUAUUUUAUUUUAAUACUAAAAUUUUGUUGGGGAGACAAGUAAAUUUAAAGAACUUUACUUAUUUUUUUCAUUAGUUAAUGUUUAUUUUGAUCCAAUUUUUUUGAUUAAAAGAUUGAGUUACUUUA